rnacentral:tRNA from 1 species
GCCCUUAUAGUAUAUCAAUAUUUCAACUUGUCGUGUUGAAGAUCUCUUCUAAGAGUGAGGGUU